UUGUUUUUUUUAGGCAAAUUUUAUUAUUUAUUUUUAUAGGUAUGGAAAAGUUGAGGCCACUCGCAUAUUAUUAGAGAAAGGAAAGUGCAAUCCAAACCUUUUAAAUGGGCAGCUCAGCUCACCGCUUCACUUUGCUGCUGGAGGCGGCCAUGCUGAAAUAGUGCAGAUCCUCCUGACUCACCCAGACAUUGACAGGGUACGUUAGUUUCUUGUUUUUAUAUUUUAAUACUUAGCGACUAAUAAGUAGUGAUAAAAAAAUGUUUAAUUGCAUAUUUAACAGGUCAACUAAAACAAACUUUAUAGAGUUUAUGUAUUAACUGUGCCUCUUCUCAUAAGUUUUUAAUUGUUGUUAUUGAUAAAGUACACUUUACACUUCACAAAAAAUGCAGUGUUUUAACCACUUAGAUGCACAGUUCAGAGCAUCUACUACAUGUAUUGUUUAUAAAGUCAUUACAUAUAUCCAUCUCCAGAAUAUACAUGAAAUUCACUCUACAUUGCAUUUCCCCCAACAUGUCCUGAAAGAAAACCUUUUACCCAUUUUCUAAAAUUUUCUACUGACAAGUAUUUGGUAAAAAAAAAAAAAAAAAAGAAACCAUGGAAACCUUUCUUAAAUCUAUAAUGGAACUUUCAAGAAACAUAACCCUAUUAAUUAGUGCGCUAAGUUUUUUAGCUUUUCCAAUUUUUGUUAUAGUAUUUUCUAAGUAUGGGUAAUAUUUACUCAAUCUUUGACCAGAGUAUUUCUAUGCAGUUUUAAUUGAAAAACAUGCUUUCAGAACAUGUGUAUUUGCAAUGUCUUUUUGUUCAUCCCUUCUUCCAUUCUAGCACAUAACAGAUCAACAAGGAAGAUCCCCAUUAAAUGUUUGUGAAGAAAACAAACAAAAUAACUGGGAAGAAGCUGCAAAAUUGUUGAAAGACGCCAUUAACAAGCCAGUAAGUAUUACCCGAAUAGUUAUAGCCAAAUAUCUUAUCGAAAUUGAUAGUUUACAAAAGACCCUAGGUUUAUUCCCUUUACUAAAAAGAUUAAUUCAUAGUAUAAUCUCAUAUGGCAGAUGUAAUUAAGAAACAUCAUUAGACUUUUUUUGGCAUUGUACAAACACCAUGGAGUAUAUUUGGACAACAUCCAUUGUAUAACCUGCUAUAUAAACCUAGGCUAUAUGGCAUAUAGUGUGAUAUGUGUGAUGCCCUUAGAUGUUUGCUUCUGUCAUUGACCAAAAUACUAAGUUAUGAGUGAUUGUACUUAAUUGUGUUUAUUAUAAAUAGUUCUGCUCAUUGAUCCAUAUUCUCCCCAAACAUUUAUAUUUAUAAGCAGCAGCAUUAUACGCCAUACAUUAAUAAUUUUCAGCAAGUCGAUGUAUAAGAAACUCAUUUUCCAAAUGUAAAUGAGGAAAAUACCUAAUUAAAAAAAAAAACUUUUGGGAUAGCAUUGGAAAUGUAAAUGAGGAAAAUAUCUAAUAAAAAAUAUA
rnacentral:lncRNA from 1 species